rnacentral:rRNA from 1 species
CGGCGGACGGGUGAGUAACGCGUGGGUAACCUACCCUGUACACACGGAUAACAUACCGAAAGGUAUGCUAAUACGGGAUAAUAUAUUUGAGAGGCAUCUCUUGAAUAUCAAAGGUGAGCCAGUACAGGAUGGACCCGCGUCUGAUUAGCUAGUUGGUAAGGUAACGGCUUACCAAGGCGACGAUCAGUAUCCGACCUGAGAGGGUGAUCGGCCACAUUGGAACUGAGACACGGUCCAA